AACUUAAUAGUCAGAUCCACAUUGUUUUUGACCAGUUGUUCAAAAGAAAGAUCACAAACGCAUGUACGCCACUCGUCCACGAUUCUGAAGUAGGCCAUCAAGGUCUCAGGGCUCCUUUUAGAGAUGACGGGAGAUUACAAUGAGCUCAAAGUACCCCAUCAAUCAAAAUGAGUUCUUCCUCUGCAACUAAGCAUAAGAAGCUCCACAUAGCUUUGUUCCCAUGGCUUGCCUUCGGUCACAUAAUCCCAUUUCUUGAGGUCGCCAAGCACAUAGCUCGAAAAGGCCACAAGGUUUCCUUCAUUUCCACACCUAGAAACAUCCAACGGCUCUCCCCAAAAUCCCAGAAACCCUAACCCCGUUGAUCACUCUAGUCCAAAUCCCACUCCCCCAUGUCGAAAACCUUCCCGAAAACGCAGAGGCCACCAUGGACGUCCAUCACGACGUUAUCCCAUACCUCAAAAUCGCUCAUGAAGGACUCGAACAAGGUAUUUCUGAAUUCCUUCAAGCUCAAUCUCCUGAUUGGAUCAUUCACGACUUUGCCCCUCACUGGUUGCCUCCGAUAGCAACUAAGCUCGGCAUCUCAAAUGCUCAUUUCAGUAUUUUCAACGCUUCCUCUAUAUGUUUCUUUGGAUCAACAUCACCAAAUCGAAUAUCUAGAUAUGCUCCUAGAAAGAAGCUAGAACAAUACACUUCCCCUCCCGAAUGGAUUCCCUUUCCGUCCAAAAUAUACCAUAGGCCUUUCGAGGCCAAGAGACUGAUGGACGGUACUUUGACACCAAAUGCUUCUGGGGUGACUGAUCGUUUUCGUCUGCAAUCAACUAUCCAAGGUUGUCAAGUCUACUUCAUUCGAAGUUGUAGAGAGAUCGAGGGUGAGUGGCUCGAUUUGGUUGAAGACCUCCACGAAAAACCUGUAGUGCUUCCGACUGGCUUAUUGCCAUCAUCUCUACCAAGAAGUAAUGAAGACGGCAGAAAGGAUAGUAAUUGGUCCAAAAUUGCAGUGUGGUUAGACAAACAAGAGAAAGGGAAAGUAGUUUAUGUUGCAUUUGGGAGUGAGCUUAAUUUAAGCCAAGAUGAGUUGGCUCUUGGACUGGAGCUAUCCGGAUUGCCUUUCUUUUGGGUGUUAAGGAAACCGAGUCAUGGGUCUGGCGAUGGUGACUCGGUUAAGCUACCAGAUGGGUUUCAGGACCGAACCAAAGGUCGUGGACUUGUUUGGACUACGUGGGUUCCCCAGCUCAAAAUUUUGUCCCACGAGUCGGUCGGGGGUUUCUUGACUCAUUGCGGUUGGAGUUCCAUCAUUGAGUCACUCCAGUACGGGCGUCCUCUAAUCAUGCUGCCAUUUAUGUACGAUCAAGGGCUGAUUGCUAGGUUUUGGGACAACAAGAUCGGAGCUGAGGUACCGAGAGACGAAGAGACUGGAUGGUUUACAAGGAACGAGUUGGCGAAUUCAUUGAAGUUGAUUGUGGUAGAUGAGGAGGGGAAGCAGUACACAGAUGGAGCUAAUGAGUAUAGUAAGUUGUUUAGGGACAAGGAACUCCAUGAUAGGUACAUGGACGAAUGCGUGGCGUAUUUGGAAACGCAUGCGCAUCAUGAGGUUUGAAUGCUACCGGUUUGAGUGAAUAAAGAGAAGGCUCAAUUUCACCGGCUGUUUCCACAGAGCAGGCUGAAUUGGUUGCCCCGCGCCUUCAGAAGUUCACGUACAAUAAAUUUAAGGGCAGCAUUAUAUAGGUAGUAUUGAUUAUGAAUCUUAUGCGAAAUAAUGAAUUAGUUUCAUGUUGUUUAACGUACCUCGUGCAUGCAAGGCUAUAUAUCGAUUAAGGAAAAAUUUUAAGAAUAAUACAUGAAAUAUCGCUCACUGAGAAUUUAGGUUAAUAUCCUUU